rnacentral:lncRNA from 10 species
CGUUGGUCUCCCCGGGCAACUGCUUGCCCUGCGCCACCGAGCCUCCCGGAUUUAAAGCGGCAGGAGCUGGUUAGCCGGAUAGAAUAUGGCAUCUCAAUGUGUUACCCAGGCUGGUCUUGAACUCCUGGACUCAAUCCUCCUACCUUGGCCUCCCAAAGUGCUGGGAUUAUAGGUGUGAGUCAUCCUGUCUGGCCUAUUUUCUGAGGACUGAUUUUGUAUUUUAUUAUUAUUAUUUUAGGACCACAUAACUCUGUUUAGAAAAUGUUUCUAAUGUAUUGAGUGCUUCAAAGGUAUAUUAGUUCGAUUUCACACUGCUAUAAGGAAUUGCCUGAGGCUGAGUAAUAUAUAAAAUAAACAGGUUUAAUUGACUCAGUUCCAUAUAACUGGGGAGGCCGCAGGAAACUUACAAUCAUGGCUGAAGGUGAAGGGGAAGCAAGGCACAUCUUACUUGUUGGCAGGAGAGAGAGAGUGCAGGGGAAACUGCCACUUUUUCUUUUUUUUUUUUGGAGACAGAGUCUCACUCUGUUGCCCAGGCUGGAGUGCAGUGGCGCAAUCUUGGCUCACUGCAAGCUUGGCCUCCCGGGUUCACGUCAUUCUCCUGCCUCAGCAUCCCGAGUAGCUGGGACUACAGGCGCCCGCCACUACGCCUGGCUAAUUUUUUGUAUUUUUAGUAGAGACGAGGUUUCACGUGUUAGUCAGGAUGGUCUCGAUCUUCUGCCCUCAGGUAAUCCACCCGCCUUGGCCUCCCAAAGUGCUGGGAUUACAGGUGUGAGCCACCAUGCCCAGCCAGAAACUGCCACUUUUAAACCAUCAGAUCUCAUUGAGAACUCCCUCACUAUCACGAGAACCGCAUGAGGGAAACCACCCCCAUGAUCUGAUCACCUCCCACCAGGUCCUGCCCUCAACAUGUGGGGAUUACAAUUCAAGAUGAGAUUUGGGUCAGGAAACAGAGCCAAACCAUAUCAAGAGCCUCUGGUAACCACUGUUCUACUCAAUACUUCUAUGAGGUGAACUUCUUUGGAUUCCACAUAUGAUCAAGAUCAUGAGGAAGGAGGAGCAAGUCUUCUUUGUCAUGCUAUUAAGAAAAUACCCAGAGUCACAGCACCAUGAUCUCCUUGUGAAGCAGAACAAGUAAUAUAAAACUGAUCUAAAGAGGCCUCCCCUCUACUCUUAUCUGUCUGGUCGAGUCAUUUGGGUCCAAGUGGGCACCAUUGUGGGAGGGUGGGAGGACUCAUCACUGGGGGCCCAGGCAUCAUUGGCAUGUGGCCUCCUGUGUUAGUUUGUUCUCAUGCUGCAAAUAAAGACAACUUGAGACUGGAUAAUUUAUAAAGGAAAGAGGUUUAAUGGACUCACAGUUCCACAUGGCUAAGGAGUACUCACAAUCAUGGCGGAAGACAAAGGAAGAGCAAAGGGACAUCUUACAUGGCAGCAGGCAAGAGAGCGUGUGCAGGGGAAGUCCCCUUUAUAAAACCAUCAGAUCUCAUGAGACUUAUUCACUAUCGCGAGAACAGCAUGAGAAAAACCCACCCCCAUGAUUCAAUUACCUCCCACCGUGUCCCUCCCAUGUCAUGUGAAGAUUAUUACAACUCAAGGUCACAGGAACCUUGAUCUGUGCUUGCUGCAAGGAUCAUCAAACAUAGAGCGG